rnacentral:rRNA from 1 species
GACGAACGCUGGCGGCGUGCUUAACACAUGCAAGUCGAACGGAAAGGCCUGCUUUCCCUUGUGGAUUGCGGGUACUCGAGUGGCGAACGGGUGAGUAACACGUGAGUGAUCUGCCCCCAACUUGGGUAUAAGCCUGGGAAACUGGGUCUAAUUCCCGAUAGGACUGCAGGGUGGUGCCUGUGGUGGAAAACGAUUUUCUAGUGGUUGGGGAUGAGCUCGCGGCCUAUCAGCUUGUUGGUGGGGUAAUGGCCUACCAAGGCGGCGACGGGUAGCCGGCCUGGGAGGGUGGACGGGCACAUGGGGACGGAGAUACGGCCCAGACUCCUACGGGAGGCAGCAGUGGGGAAUAUUGCACAAUGGGCGGAAGCCUGAUGCAGCGACGCCGCGUGGGGGAUGACGGGCUUCGGGUUGUAAACUCCUUUCGACCGCGAGGAAGCCACCUGGUUGGAAGGGUGGUGACGGUAGUGGGAGAAGAAGCACCGGCUAACUACGUG